rnacentral:rRNA from 1 species
CCUACGGGAGGCAGCAGUGGGGAAUCUUGCGCAAUGGGCGAAAGCCUGACGCAGCCAUGCCGCGUGAAUGAUGAAGGUCUUAGGAUUGUAAAAUUCUUUCACCGGGGACGAUAAUGACGGUACCCGGAGAAGAAGCCCCGGCUAACUUCGUGCCAGCAGCCGCGGUAAUACGAAGGGGGCUAGCGUUGCUCGGAAUUACUGGGCGUAAAGGGAGCGUAGGCGGAUAGUUUAGUCAGAGGUGAAAGCCCAGGGCUCAACCUUGGAAUUGCCUUUGAUACUGGCUAUCUUGAGUGUGGGAGAGGUUAGCGGAACUCCGAGUGUAGAGGUGAAAUUCGUAGAUAUUCGGAAGAACACCAGUGGCGAAGGCGGCUAACUGGCCCAUUACUGACGCUGAGGCUCGAAAGCGUGGGGAGCAAACAGGAUUAGAUACCCUGGUAGUCCACGCCGUAAACGAUGAGUGCUAGUUGUCGGCAGGCAUGCUGUCGGUGACGCAGCUACGACAUAAGACACUCCGCCGUGGGUAGGUACGGUCGCGAAGAAUUAAACUAACAAAGUAAGUAGUAGACGCGAGAGACGCGACGACGACGACGACGGAGGGAGGAG